rnacentral:rRNA from 1 species
UACGGAGGGUGCAAGCGUUAUCCGGAUUCACUGGGUUUAAAGGGUGCGUAGGCGGGUUGGUAAGUCCGUGGUGAAAUCUCCGAGCUUAACUCGGAAACUGCCGUGGAUACUAUCAAUCUUGAAUAUCGUGGAGGUAAGCGGAAUAUGUCAUGUAGCGGUGAAAUGCUUAGGGAUGACAUAGAACACCAAUUGCGUAGGCAGCUUACUACACGAUCAUUGACGCUGAGGCACGAAAGCGUGGGGAGCAAACAGG